rnacentral:rRNA from 1 species
GAAAACGGGUGGUAAUGCCGGAUGCUCCAGUUGAUCGCAUGGUCUUCUGGGAAAGCUUUCGCGGUAUGGGAUGGGGUCGCGUCCUAUCAGCUUGACGGCGGGGUAACGGCCCACCGUGGCUUCGACGGGUAGCCGGCCUGAGAGGGCGACCGGCCACAUUGGGACUGAGAUACGGCCCAGACUCCUACGGGAGGCAGCAGUGGGGAAUAUUGCACAAUGGGCGCAAGCCUGAUGCAGCGACGCCGCGUGAGGGAUGGAGGCCUUCGGGUUGUAAACCUCUUUUAUCGGGGAGCAAGCGAGAGUGAGUUUACCCGUUGAAUAAGCACCGGCUAACUACGUGCCAGCAGCCGCGGUAAUACGUAGGGUGCAAGCGUUAUCCGGAAUUAUUGGGCGUAAAGGGCUCGUAGGCGGUUCGUCGCGUCCGGUGUGAAAGUCCAUCGCUUAACGGUGGAUCCGCGCCGGGUACGGGCGGGCUUGAGUGCGGUAGGGGAGACUGGAAUUCCCGGUGUAACGGUGGAAUGUGUAGAUAUCGG